AACGAACGCUGGCGGCAUGCCUAACACAUGCAAGUCGAACGAGACCUUCGGGUCUAGUGGCGCACGGGUGCGUAACGCGUGGGAACCUGCCCUUAGGUUCGGAAUAACUCCCCGAAAGGGGUGCUAAUACCGGAUAAUGUCUUCGGACCAAAGAUUUAUCGCCUUUGGAUGGGCCCGCGUUGGAUUAGCUAGUUGGUAGGGUAAAAGCCUACCAAGGCGACGAUCCAUAGCUGGUCUGAGAGGAUGAUCAACCACACUGGGACUGAGACACAGCCCAGACUCCUACGGGAGGCAGCAGUGGAGAAUAUUGGACAAUGGGCGAAAGACUGAUCCAGCAAUGCCGCGUGAGUGAUGAAGGCCUUAGGGUUGUAAAGCUCUUUUACCCGGGAUGAUAAUGACAGUACCGGGAGAAUAAGCUACGGCUAACUACGUG
rnacentral:rRNA from 1 species